ensembl:snoRNA
UACCUCCUGAGAUUACAUCUGGAGAGUGGCUAGUAUUCUGCCAGCUUCAGAAGCAGGAAGGAAAACAAGGCCAACAGAGGUGCCCAUUCCAUUCCCAGCUUGCUCAGUAGCUGACAAUUGGAAGACACACUGAGGAAAAG